GAUGAACGCUAGCGACAGGCUUAACACAUGCAAGUCGAGGGGCAGCAUGGUCUUAGCUUGCUAAGGCCGAUGGCGACCGGCGCACGGGUGAGUAACACGUAUCCAACCUGCCGUCUACUCUUGGACAGCCUUCUGAAAGGAAGAUUAAUACAAGAUGGCAUCAUGAGUCCGCAUGUUCACAUGAUUAAAGGUAUUCCGGUAGACGAUGGGGAUGCGUUCCAUUAGAUAGUAGGCGGGGUAACGGCCCACCUAGUCUUCGAUGGAUAGGGGUUCUGAGAGGAAGGUACCCCACAUUGGAACUGAGACCCAGUCCCCACUCCGACGGGAGGCAGCGGUGUGGAAUAUUAGUCAAUGGGCGCUGGCCUGAACCAGCCACGUAGCGUGAAGGAUGCCUGCCCUCUGGGUUGUAAGCUUCUUUUAUAAAGGAAUAAAGUCGGGUACGUAUACCCGUUUGCCUGUACCUUAUGAAUAAGGAUCGGCUAACUCCGUG
rnacentral:rRNA from 1 species